rnacentral:rRNA from 1 species
GACGAACGCUGGCGGCGGGCUUAACACAUGCAAGUCGAACGGAAAGGCCCUGCAUUUGUGGGUUUCUCGAGGGGCGAACGGGUGAGUAACACGUGAGUAACCAGCCCUUGACUUCGGGAUAACUUCAGAAAACUGGGGAUAAUACCCGAUAGGAGCAUCUGCUGCAUGGUGGGCGUUUGAAUGUUUCGGCGGUUUUGGCUGGACUCGCGGCUUAUCCGCUUGUUUGGGGGGUAGUCGCUUAACAAGGCUUCGACGGGUAGCCGGCCUGAGAGGGGGACCGGCCACCUUGCGACUGAGCUACGGGCCAGACUCCUACGGGAGGCAGCAGUGGGGAAUAGUGCACAAUGGGCGGAAGCCUGGUGCAGCAUCGCCGCGUGCGGGAUUGCGACCUUCGGGUAGUAGACCGCUUUGGCCUGUGACGGAGAGUGAUUGACGGUAACUGGUAAAGAAGCACCGGCUAACUACGUG